UACGAAGGGGGCUAGCGUUGUUCGGAAUCACUGGGCGUAAAGGGCGCGUAGGCGGCUGUUCAAGUCGGGGGUGAAAGCCUGUGGCUCAACCACAGAAUUGCCUUCGAUACUGGACGGCUCGAGACCGGAAGAGGUCAGUGGAACUGCGAGUGUAGAGGUGAAAUUCGUAGAUAUUCGCAAGAACACCAGUGGCGAAGGCGGCUGACUGGUCCGGUUCUGACGCUGAGGCGCGAAAGCGUGGGGAG
rnacentral:rRNA from 1 species